UACUCCUACGGGAGGCAGCAGUGGGGAAUAUUGCACAAUGGGCGCAAGCCUGAUGCAGCCAUGCCGCGUGUGUGAAGAAGGCCUUCGGGUUGUAAAGCACUUUCAGCGAGGAGGAAGGUGGUGAGCUUAAUACGCUCAUCAAUUGACGUUACUCGCAGAAGAAGCACCGGCUAACUCCGUGCCAGCAGCCGCGGUAAU
rnacentral:rRNA from 1 species